GAUGAACGCUGGCGGCGUGCCUAAUACAUGCAAGUCGAGCGAACAGACGAGGAGCUUGCUCCUCUGACGUUAGCGGCGGACGGGUGAGUAACACGUGGAUAACCUACCUAUAAGACUGGGAUAACUUCGGGAAACCGGAGCUAAUACCGGAUAAUAUAUUGAACCGCAUGGUUCAAUAGUGAAAGACGGUUUUGCUGUCACUUAUAGAUGGAUCCGCGCCGCAUUAGCUAGUUGGUAAGGUAACGGCUUACCAAGGCGACGAUGCGUAGCCGACCUGAGAGGGUGAUCGGCCACACUGGAACUGAGACACGGUCCAGACUCCUACGGGAGGCAGCAGUAGGGAAUCUUCCGCAAUGGGCGAAAGCCUGACGGAGCAACGCCGCGUGAGUGAUGAAGGUCUUCGGAUCGUAAAACUCUGUUAUUAGGGAAGAACAAAUGUGUAAGUAACUAUGCACGUCUUGACGGUACCUACUCAGAAAGCCACGGCUAACUACGUG
rnacentral:rRNA from 1 species